AUUUUAAUGAUCGAACAGAUCAAAAUUUUAAACUUUUGCAUUUAAAUUUUAUCUUAAUCCAACAUCGAGGUCGCAAACUUUUUUUUUUAUUUGAGCUAAAAAAAAAUAUUACGCUGUUAUCCCUAAGGUAAUUUUUUCUUAUAAUCAUUAUUAAUGGAUCAUUUAAUCAUUUAUUUAUGUUUAAUUUUUAAAAAAAGUUAAUUUAAUUUUUCUAUCACCCCAAUAUAAUAAUUAAUUUUAUUUCAAUAAAAAUUUUUAUAUAAUUUUAAAAUAAAAAUAAAUAUAAAACUCUAUAGGGUCUUCUCGUCUUUUAAAAUUAAUUUAGCUUUUUAACUAAAAAAUAAACUUCUAAAAAUAAAUAAGAGACAGUUUAUAUUUCAUCAAAUCUUUCAUACAAGUUUUCAAUUAAAAAACUAGUGAUUAUGCUACCUUUGUACAGUCAUUAUACUGCAGCCCUUUAAUUAUUAUCAGUGGGCAGAUUAGACCUUAAAUUAUAUUCAAA
rnacentral:rRNA from 1 species